AUUGAACGCUGGCGGCAGGCCUAACACAUGCAAGUCGAACGGUAACAGGAAGCAGCUUGCUGCUUUGCUGACGAGUGGCGGACGGGUGAGUAAUGUCUGGGAAACUGCUCGAUGGAGGGGGAUAACUACUGGAAACGGUAGCUAAUACCGCAUAACUUCGCAAGACCAAAGAGGGGGACUUUAGGGCCUCUUGCCAUCGGCUGUGCCCAGAUGGGAUUAGCUAGUAGGUGGGGUAACGGCUCACCUAGGCGACGAUCCCUAGCUGGUCUGAGAGGAUGACCAGCCACACUGGAACUGAGACACGGUCCAGACUCCUACGGGAGGCAGCAGUGGGGAAUAUUGCACAAUGGGCGCAAGCCUGAUGCAGCCAUGCCGCGUGUAUGAAGAAGGCCUUCGGGUUGUAAAGUACUUUCAGCGGGGAGGAAGGGAGUAAAGUUAAUACCUUUGCUCAUUGACGUUACCCGCAGAAGAAGCACCGGCUAACUCCGUG
rnacentral:rRNA from 1 species